AGUCUUGGUUCAAGAAACUAUACAAGAAAGGAAAUCAAUGAGGUUCGAGAAUUGUGGGCAAAAUUUUUCUCUUUAGAAUGUCUAUAAUAAGGUAAUCUUGUCAUCGGCCUUGUCGUUUGAAGUCCUUACAGUUCAAGCAUUUAAGUUCUUGCCUGCUGCAGUACUGUGAUAUACAAUCACUGGUCCUUGAAGAUCUUGAACUUCUUGCUAGAGACAGUGUGUUUGGAUUCAUUUGUAACAAUCUGAUAUCAUGAAGGUUUUUUUGUGGCAUUUAAUGUGUAAUGUUUCUUUCAAGUGUAAACUAGGACAUAAUUAAUUCUUGAUAUAAUUGUUUAAGUUGUUUUGGGAUUUAA